GGGUUGAUGAGAAGAAUUCAUAUGGUUUGAAGAGAGAUGAUUACCUAAAACUCAUGUUCAAUAGAAGUAUGCUGAGGCCC